UCUGAACUCUCUCUCGUUUUACAUGUACAUUUUUUGUAAUUUAGCAGACGCUCUUAUCCGGAGAGACUUACAGUUGCAGAACAUUCAUCUUCAGAUAGCUAGGUGAGACGACCAUUCAUCUUCAGAUAGCUAGGUGAGACGACCAUUCAUCUUCAGAUAGCUAGGUGAGACGACCAUUCAUCUUCAGAUAGCUAGGUGAGACGACCAUUCAUCUUCAGAUAGCUAGGUGAGACGACCAUUCAUCUUCAGAUAGCUAGGUGAGAUGACCAUUCAUCUUCAGAUAGCUAGGAGAGACGACCAUUGAUCUUCAGAUAGCUAGGUGAGACGACCAUUCAUCUUCAGGUAGCUAGGUGGGACGACCACAUACAGUACAUUCAUCUUCAGAUAGCUAGGAGAGACGACCACAUACAGAACAUUCAUCUUCAGAUAGCUAGGUGAGACGACCAUUCAUCUUCAGGUAGCUAGGUGAGACGACCAUUGAUCUUCAGAUAGCUAGGUGAGACGACCAUUCAUCUUCAGGUAGCUAGGUGGGACGACCACAUACAGUACAUUCAUCUUCAGAUAGCUAGGAGAGACGACCACAUACAGUACAUUCAUCUUCAGAUAGCUAGGUGAGACGACCACAUACAGUACAUUCAUCUUCAGAUAGCUAGGAGAGACGACCACAUACAGUACAUUCAUCUUCAGAUAGCUAGGUGAGACGACCACAUACAGUACAUUCAUCUUCAGAUAGCUAGGAGAGACGACCACAUACAGUACAUUCAUCUUCAGAUAGCUAGGUGAGACGACCACAUACAGAACAUUCAUCUUCAGAUAGCUAGGAGAGACGACCACAUACAGAACAUUCAUCUUCAGAUAGCUAGGAGAGACGACCACAUACAGAACAUUCAUCUUCAGAUAGCUAGGAGAGACGACCACAUACAGUACAUUCAUCUUCAGAUAGCUAGGUGAGACGACCACAUACAGUACAUUCAUCUUCAGAUAGCUAGGAGAGACGACCACAUACAGUACAUUCAUCUUCAGAUAGCUAGGUGAGACGACCACAUACAGUACAUUCAUCUUCAGAUAGCUAGGAGAGACGACCACAUACAGUACAUUCAUCUUCAGAUAGCUAGGUGAGACGACCACAUACGGAACAUUCAUCUUCAGAUAGCUAGGAGAGACGACCACAUACAGAACAUUCAUCUUCAGAUAGCUAGGUGGGACGACCACAUACAGAACAUUCAUCUUCAGAUAGCUAGGUGAGACGACCACAUACAGUACAUUCAUCUUCAGAUAGCUGGGUGAGACGACCACAUACAGUACAUUCAUCUUCAGAUAGCUAGGUGAGACGACCACAUACAGUACAUUCAUCUUCAGAUAGCUAGGUGAGACGACCACAUACAGUACAUUCAUCUUCAGAUAGCUAGGUGGGACGACCACAUACAGUACAUUCAUCUUCAGAUAGCUAGGUGAGACGACCACAUACAGUACAUUCAUCUUCAGAUAGCUGGGUGAGACGACCACAUACAGUACAUUCAUCUUCAGAUAGCUAGGUGAGACGACCACAUACAGUACAUUCAUCUUCAGAUAGCUAGGUGGGACGACCACAUACAGAACAUUCAUCAUCAGAUAGCUAGGUGGGACGACCACAUACAGAACAUUCAUCUUCAGAUAGCUAGGUGAGACGACCAUUCAUCUUCAGGUAGCUAGGUGAGACGACCACAUACAGUACAUUCAUCAUCAGAUAGCUAGGUGGGACGACCACAUACAGAACAUUCAUCUUCAGAUAGCUAGGUGAGACGACCAUUCAUCUUCAGGUAGCUAGGUGAGACGACCACAUACAGUACAUUCAUCUUCAGAUAGCUAGGUGAGACGACCAUUCAUCUUCAGGUAGCUAGGUGAGACGACCACAUACAGUACAUUCAUCAUCAGAUAGCUAGGUGGGACGACCACAUACAGAACAUUCAUCUUCAGAUAGCUAGGUGAGACGACCACAUACAGUACAUUCAUCUUCAGAUAGCUAGGUGAGACGACCACAUACAGAACAUUCAUCUUCAGAUAGCUAGGUGAGACGACCACAUACAGUACAUUCAUCAUCAGAUAGCUAGGUGAGACGACCACAUACAGUACAUUCAUCAUCAGAUAGCUAGGUGAGACGACCACAUACAGUACAUUCAUCAUCAGAUAGCUAGGUGAGACGACCACAUACAGAACAUUCAUCAUCAGAUAGCUGGGUGAGACGACCACAUACAGUACAUUCAUCAUCAGAUAGCUGGGUGAGACGACCACAUACAGAACAUUCA